AGAAUCAACGCUGGCGGCGUGCCUAACACAUGCAAGUCGAACGCGAAAGUCCCGCAAGGGAUGAGUAGAGUGGCAAACGGGUGAGUAACGCGUGGGUGACCUGCCUUCGAGUGGGGGAUAACGUUCCGAAAGGGACGCUAAUACCGCAUAACAUCCUGCCUUUUAAGAGGUGGACAUCAAAGCUUGGGACCGCAAGGCCAGGCGCUUGAAGAGGGGCCCGCGUCCGAUUAGCUAGUUGGUGGGGUAAUGGCUCACCAAGGCAACGAUCGGUA
rnacentral:rRNA from 1 species